rnacentral:rRNA from 1 species
GACGAACGCUGGCGGCGUGCCUAAUACAUGCAAGUUGAGCGCUGAAGGUUGGUACUUGUACCAACUGGAUGAGCAGCGAACGGGUGAGUAACGCGUGGGGAAUCUGCCUUUGAGCGGGGGACAACAUUUGGAAACGAAUGCUAAUACCGCAUAAAAACUUUAAACACAAGUUUUAAGUUUGAAAGAUGCAAUUGCAUCACUCAAAGAUGAUCCCGCGUUGUAUUAGCUAGUUGGUGAGGUAAAGGCUCACCAAGGCGAUGAUACAUAGCCGACCUGAGAGGGUGGUCGGCCACAGUGGGACUGAGACACGGCCCAAACUCCUACAGGAGGCAGCAGUAGGGAAUCUUCGGCAAUGGACGAAAGUCUGACCGAGCAACGCCGCGUGAGUGAAGAAGGUUUUCGGAUCGUAAAACUCUGUUGGUAGAGAAGAACGUUGGUGAGAGUGGAAAGCUCAUCAAGUGACGGUAACUACCCAGAAAGGGACGGCUAACUACGUG